UGGGGAAUAUUGGACAAUGGGCGAAAGCCUGAUCCAGCCAUGCCGCGUGAGUGAAGAAGGCCUUCGGGUUGUAAAGCUCUUUUAGUCGGAAAGAAAGAGUUGCAAUGAAUAAUUGUGAUUUAUGACGGUACCGACAGAAAAAGCACCGGCUAACUACGUGCCGGCAGCCGCGGUAAUACGUAGGGUGCGAGCGUUAAUCGGAAUUACUGGGCGUAAAGGGUGCGCAGGCGGUCUUGCAAGUCAGAUGUGAAAGCCCCGGGCUUAACCUGGGAAUUGCGUUUGAAACUACAAGGCUAGAGUGCAGCAGAGGGGAGUGGAAUUCCAUGUGUAGCAGUGAAAUGCGUAGAGAUGUGGAAGAACACCGAUGGCGAAGGCAGCUCCCUGGGUUGACACUGACGCUCAUGCACGAAAGCGUGGGGAGCAAACA
rnacentral:rRNA from 1 species